rnacentral:lncRNA from 1 species
UGCAUUAAGCCUCACUGGCAGGCGGUUUGGGGUGGGCAUCACACACCCUGAGUGCUGACAUUCGUGCUUCUCCCUCUGCCGAGCCGUCCCUCCUCUGCCCCUUCUCUGUCGUUUGCAUGAAACACCAGGUCACCUGGCGGCCGGCGGCGGGCGGCGGCGGCGGCGGCCCUGGCCCUGGGUAACUGAAGAUAGGACUGCCACACUCGGCAGCUCUGGCCCCCAGGAUACCCUGCUUGCUGUGGCAGCUGCCCGAGCUCCCUCUCUCCUGGCUGGCCCACCUCACCUGCAGGCUCUGCUCUUUGGCGACUGCCUGCCGGGACCCCAGGUCUUCCUCCUGGUGGCCUUUGAUGAUUGCGGGUUGAUAGCGCUUUGUACGUUGGGUCUUGGUUCUCAGAAGUGGACCAGUUCGCAUUUUUCUGCUAGGCUUGGUGGGUCCCUGACCGUGCUGCUGGGGGUUGGUUACCCAUCCCGAGGCGUGAGGGAGCGGGCAGGGCCUGGGGCGCCAGGCUGUGGACGGUGGGGGCACGUUCCCUGAUGAGGCCGCUUGCAGGCGAGCUUGGAAACUCACAGCUGUUGGGCCUGCACUUGCGGUUAGUUGCAUGUGAGAAAUUCACAUGUGCCGUGUGAGUCUGGCAGUAAGUGGUGCUGAGGCAGAAAACCUAAUUUUAUUUAAAGACGUCUUCGUGGAGGAAGGUCUUGAGGGAUACGUGUCAAGUAAAAUUCCAGACCAGACCUGUUUUCCACUUUUCUAAAAUCUUGGUCAGAACAUCAAAACAGAUUCGGAAGACUGAGUUUCAACUAAAGGUUAAGCCGAAAGUCACAUUUCAAGCUUGCUUUCUAAUACCGUUUCCCCCCGAGUGAGGCCCUGUGUGGCUCUGGAAACCAGAUUGAAUGAGGAUGUGACUUCAGAGAGCCCCAGCUGGGUGGGGCCCGGGCGCCUUGCCAGCCUUGCCAGGAACUCACCCUGUGACCCAGUGAGUCUCUCGUCCUCCUCUUUUGUAAAAUGAGACAUUUCGGUGGGACUAAAGGUUGCGGGCUGGGCCUGGCGGCUGCUGCACAGAGAUUGAAACUGUCACUCAGGCCGGUAGGAGGGAAGGGAGCCUUGUGCUGUGUCCAGCCCGCUGAAAUGUGCUGGAGCAGGGAGCCUGGGAGGCACCGGGUGGAGCCUGGAGGGCUAGACCGCGGCUUUGGCUCUUUUGGUGAAGAGCGCCUGCAGACACUUGGUGGGCCUUGAGAAGCAGAGAAGCCCGUUCUGGCCGCAGUGAGAAUGAUGGUUUGUCGGGUGACAGUAGACACAGGGAGGCCGAAGGCCCCUCGUAAUCCAGGUGAGAGGAGGCAGUAGAGGUGGAGAACGAGGUGGGUGAGUGCCGGAAGGUCAGCGUGGGUUCUCAGGAGUCUGACUUUAGAAAGGGUUUUCCCUGAGAUGGGGCCUCUGCAGAAGGGCUGGAUCUGGGGGGCCUUGCUUGUGCUUGUGUGUUCGCUACCAAACAGCUCGGAGCACGGGCCCUGCUCUUAUCUGCAUGCAGCUCCGUGUUGAGGUCUGAUGUCGCCGCAUGUCUGUCACGCGUGGCCCUCUGUCCCGUGAGCAUCUGCUGAGUGCCUGCUUGUUGGGCUCUGUCUGGACAGACUUGGAGGUUCUCCUCUGUCCAUCUAAUGACAUGAACUUUUAUCUUGCUAAGGUGGCAGGGUUUUGAGCAGAAGCGUGGCAUGCUGUCACUCAGGGUCUGAAGGAAUUGUUCUAGAUGCGUCGUGGUCGUCAGGUGCAGAGGCGGAGGCAGGAACACCAGGGAGCCGCCCGGUGUCAGGUGCUGGCAGGCGUUUGGCGGGUGUGUGGUGUGCCUCCUGGAUUUUGGCGUAGGGGUGGCGGUGGAGAACGGGCCGUGGUGUCUUCUCAGGAGCACAGAUCUUCCUUGCAUGGGGUGGGGCUGUCCCUCGCACCAGGAUGGCUGCCUCUGCUUGUCGGCCGUUCUCUUUGCAGUGGGCACUGCCGGGAGCUCUGGCUCGCCAUUGCCACAGGGGUUGAGGUGUGUAAAUUUGGCUUUGGACAUGUUGAGCCCAAAGUGCCUUGAGAUACCUAAGGGGAGGUGCAGCUUACAUAGUUGCCUCAAAGGCAUUUGAGCCCCAAACUGCCUUCUGGGAAUUAUAUGUAUUGAUGGUUAGUGGACAUGGUUGGCGGAGGGACAGCGUAGGUGAGCAGAGGCCGAGGACAGGGCCUCAGGUUCUCUGACGUUCAGAAGCUGCAGCCUCGUUCCCGGAGUGAAUGCUUACGUCUAAACUGUCUUAAUAAACUUGAACAGAGGAGUUUUAAAUUCUACACGCACAGCAUUUUUCAUUUAUGAAUGAAUCAUUUUGCAUUAAUUUAAAAGCAAACAAAAUCAGAAGCAACAUUAACUCAUUAAUUCUGGUUAUCAAGAAGUUAUUUUGGUAGGAAAUAGGCCUUAUGCCCUAUUGGAAGCAUUGAAAAGCUGAUCUGAAUUUAAAAAAACAACGUGGGGCAUGAAAGCUUCCUAACCUUUUAGGUUGGGAAAGGAGGCCUGGCGUCCCACUGCUUGUCUCCCGGUUCCUGUUCCUCCAACCCCACCCCCCAAAUGCUUGCCUUGCUUCUUGCUCAGGCCCUGGGUGAGAGAUGGUGGCCCCUUUCAGGGAGGGAGGCAGCAAGGACAGUGCUUUGCUGUGGGGACAGGGACCCUCAGGCCCAGGUUGAUGCCCACCAAGUGAGUAGCAUCUGGUCAGUGGCAGCGUGUGCAGAGGGUGCAGCAGCCGGGCUCAGACUCGCCACGGGGUGUCAGGAGCUGGCCCUCAAGUUGGUGCAGUUUAAAGAAUGCAGAUUGAGGAGUUCCCAGGCUAGGGGUCCAAUCAGAGCUGUAGCCGCCGGCCUACGCCAGAGCCACAGCAACGCGGGAUCCGAGCCGCGUCUGCAACUACACCACAGCUCAUGGCAACGCCAGGUCCUUAACCCACUGGGCCAGGCCAGGGAUGGAACCGGCAACCUCAUGGUUCCUAGUCGGAUUCGUUAACCACUGCGCCACGAUGGGAAUUCCUCCACUAUAUUCUUGAUAUGUUUUUAGGCAUUUUUUAAAAAGGCAUUUGUUUUUGUUUUAGUUUUUCUCUUUGGUUGCACCAGGCUUCGGGUUCAGGGAUAGAACCCUUGCCACAGCCCAAGCUGCUGCAGUGACAAUGCCAGAUCCUUAACCUGUUGCACCACAUGGGAACUUCAAAGAUACAUUUUUUUUCCCUUCUCUUUAGGGCUGCACCUGGGGGUUAUGGAAAGUUCCCAGGCUAGGGGUUGAAUCAGAACUGCAGCUGCUGGUCUGUGCCACAGCCACAGCAGUGUGGGGGAUUCGAGCCGCAUCUGUGACCUGCGCUACAGCUUGCAGCAACACCGCAAGCUCCUUAACUCGUGGAGCCAGGCCAGGGGUCUAACCUGCAUCCUUGCGAACACUGUGUCCGGCUCCUAACCUGCCGAGUCACAGUGGAAACCCCAGAAAUAGGUAUUUUUAAAGAAGACGUACUCUGUGGGGUUUACCACCUGUUUUGUGUUCUGUUUAUCCUUGACCAUCACCGUCGCUGGUCACCGUUUUUGUUGGUUGGUUUCUUCUUUUUUUAACCUUAGCAGGUUACAAGGCGUUAGGAGUCUGGGUGGCCAGGCUAGCUCCUGGGUACUGAAACAGUAUCUGGUGCCAGUGUUCAGCUCUUGGAUGCUAAGACUUCUGAUGGAUCCCAACCAGCCUUGUGACGGAGGGAAGGCAGAACUUACACUGAGGUGAGAGGGGGGUGCUGCUCUGGUCUGGACCCCGGUUUCCUGGGUGUUUGGAGAACCAGCACCAUCUGUUGGGCGUCUGUGCAGUGUGUACGGCUGCAGCUUGUGGGACAGCUCUCUGACUCCAGAGGCGAGUCUCCUGUCCAGUACGGUGAGUUCCCAGGAGGCCGUUCCACCGUUCUCUAGGGCCAGGUGCUUCUGCGUGAGGGGUGUGCGGCGAGAUGAGUGCAUCCCAGGGUCAUGGGCCCAUCACCUCACUUUCUUUGUGAAACACACUCCUUGGGAGUUCCUGUUGUGGCGCAGCGGAAAUGAACCCGACGAGUAUCCAGGAGGCCUCACUCACCGGGUGGGGGAGCCGGCGUUGCCGUGAGCUGUGGUGUAGGUCACAGAUGCGGCUUGGAUCUGGUGUUGCUGUGGCUGUGGUGCCAGCUGGUGGCUAAAAAAUUAAAAAAUAUAAAACAAACUCCUUGGCCACUGUUGUGUCGUAACAGUGAAUAAGGAUGUUAUUAAUUGCUGAGGCUGGGAGGAGAAUGAGUCAGGUUUCAGAGAGCAGAUGAUUCCUGAAUUCUGUCCAAGGAUGAAGGCCGUUUUCCAAGUGGGUAAUGAGAGGAGGGCCCUCUGUGACCCUCCCAGCAAGGCACUUCAUCUCCGUCUCGUGAGUUCAGGUCCUGGUUCAGACUUGUGGAUUCGAAUCCCAGCUCUGGUGUUGGGUGAGGUUACUCAGUGGUUCUGUUCUGUUCCUUAGCUUUCAGGACUUCAGAGUGAGGCCAUAGUGCCUACCUUUGCUCAGGAGGAGGUAGAUGGACAGGUGGGGCACAGGCCUGGCACUUUGCUCUGAGCCCGGGAGCCCGGGACUCGCCGCCUCUUCUCCGGCUUUCAUUCCUCGCGGCAGUUCGCCUCCCUGCCGCCUUGGGAGGGCUGCAGAACCAACUCGCCCUUCGCAUCCGUCUCCAGCACCUUGUCGGUCUUCAGUAAAUAGUGAACCAGCUGCAUCCAUGGAGGAAGGAGGGAGAAAGGGGUUAUUUUCUAACUGGGGGGUUAUUUCUGCCGGUGCCUUUCUGGUGAUAUGUUUUAUCUUCAUUUCACUUUCCUUGCAUGCAGCAUAGACCAUUAGGUGAGAACAGAUACUGGUAACUGGCAGAUGGUUUUAUCAGCGGGGCGUGGCCCUCUGCGUUCAAGUUGAGGCGGGGGUUGGGGGUCCACUCGGGUAGUGCUCAGUGCCGUUGGGACCCCAGCCCCCUCACCAUGCGCUUCUCUGACUGGGCGGGUGGUGGUGGGGAGCUUCCAGUUUCUUCUCAUUUAGACAGAUGUAAACAGAAUGACUAUUUCAACCAGUUAACUGUAUCCUAACCCCCAAACCAAGUGAGUAAUUGAAAAUAUAUGUAUCGCGAGGGAAUAGGAACACAGUGCAUAGGUAGAUGGAGAGGUUGAGAGCUCUCUGGUUCUCAGUGAUUUAAAAAUUCAGGGACUGGGGCCGGGGAAGUGGGGAGUUGCUCAUCAGCGAGUGUAAAGUUUAAGUGAAGCUGGAUAAAUAAACUUGAGAGAUCUGCUCUGUAACAUUGUACCAAUAGUCAAUACAUAUUGUACACCUAAAAAAAUUUGUUAUGAAGGUAGAUCUUUUAAGUGUUCUUACCACGAAAAAAUAAAAUUUCAAAAAAAAUUCAGGAGUUCCCAUUGUGGUGCAUCGGAAACGAAUCCACCUACUAAGCAUGAGGUUUUGGGCUUGAUCCCUGGCCUCACUCAGUGUUUAAAGAACCAGCGUUGCUGUGAGCUGUGGUGUAGGCCGGCAGCUGUAGCUCUGAUUUGACCCCUAGCCUGGGAACCUCCGUAUGCCGCCGGUGCACCCCUAAAAAGCAAAAAAAAAAAAAAAAAUUCAGUCUGACAGUCUUAAGUCCUGGGACAGGGACCCCCCCCCCCCCAGGGUCAGACCCCUGUGCUCCUGUGUGGUGCCUGGGUCACUCCUGUUGGUGUGCAGUGCCGGCUAGCCCCGAUCUCUCCCUUUGCGGGAAGGGCUCUGAGCCCUCCGUCCUCGCAGUGCCUGUGGGGCAGGUGUCUGAGGAUGAGGACACUGAAGCAGAAAGGUUGAGUACGUGGCACUGGGCAGUCUGGCCUUGGAGUGGGCACUUUUUUACUUGUAUUUUUUCAGCCACACCCUUGGCAUGUGGACGUUCCCAGGCCAGGAAUGGAAUCUGAGCUGCAGCUGCCGCCUAAGCCACAGCUGCGGCAACUC